rnacentral:tRNA from 1 species
GCCGAGGUGGCGAAAUUGGCAGACGCGCAUGGUUUAGGGCCAUGUGGGGUAACCCGUGAGAGUUCAAAUCUCUCCUUCGGCA